AAGUCAUAGUGUUGAAAAACUUUGAGCUAACCCAUUCUAGAGCAAUUAAUCUAAUUGGUGUCUAAGGAAAGCACUAAAGGUGGUUACUUAAUUAGGACCUUACUCUUUGAGUAAGGGGAGCCUCCCACCUGCUUACCUGGCUAAUUGUUUGAUUGUCUAUUAUGGAUAAGUUUAAUAUUGGUAUAACACUAUUGAUAGCCUUCCUUCAUGCCUCGAUAUUAUUAUGUCAAGAUCCAUGCUAGUUUGUUGUGCUAACACAAAACUUGCAAUGGGGACUGAUGUUAUACUGUCUUGGUGCAUUAAGAUGCUUAUGGCAUAUUUUUAAUAUAUUGCCUUGUUGUGCAACCACAAGGGCAAUAUUAUUCGAAUAUGACUAUAUGGAAAUGAAGGGUUUGACUUAACUAAAAUAUUAUUGUUUGUUGUGCUAACACAAGGCAAUAAGUAUUUUAAGAGG
rnacentral:lncRNA from 1 species